GAAAUGCGAUAAGUAAUGUGAAUUGCAGAAUUCCGUGAAUCAUCGAAUCUUUGAACGCACAUUGCGCCCUCUGGUAUUCCGGGGGGCAUGCCUGUCCGAGCGUCAUUGCGAACCCCUCAAGCACUGCUUGUGUGAUGGGCCCUCCCGCGUCUUGGUCGUCAAGACGGGCCCGAAAUGCAGUGGCGGCUUCGCGGUUAUCCGAUCAGCCAGAGCGUAUGGGGACUUUCUCUCUGUCACACGCCCGCGGCGCGGACCGACGCCUGUCGACCUUCAUUCAUCGUUUUCUCGGUUGACCUCGGAUCAGGUAGGGAUACCCGCUGAACUUAAGC
rnacentral:misc_RNA from 1 species